rnacentral:rRNA from 1 species
UGGUGGAGCGAUUUGUCUGGUCAAUUCCGAUAACGAACGAGACUCUAGCCUACUAAAUAGUUCGGGGACCCCCACAAAGGGGCCCCGCUUCAACUUCUUAGAGGGACAGGUGGCGCUUAGCCACACGAGAUUGAGCAAUAACA